GAUGAAGAACGUAGCGAAAUGCGAUAAGUAAUGCGAAUUGCAGAAUUUCCGUGAGUCAUCGAAUCUUUGAACGCACAUUGCGCCCCCUGGUAUUCCGGGGGGCAUGCCUGUCCGAGCGUCAUUGCUGCCCUCAAGCACGGCUUGUGUGUUGGGCCUCCGUCCUCCUCCCGGGGGACGGGCCCGAAAGGCAGCGGCGGCACCGCGUCCGGUCCUCGAGCGUAUGGGGCUUCGUCACCCGCUCUUGUAGGCCCGGCCGGCGCUUGCCGACACAUCAAUCUUUUUUCCAGGUUGACCUCGGAUCAGGUAGGGAUACCCGCUGAACUUAAGCAUACAAUAAGCGGAGA
rnacentral:misc_RNA from 1 species